GGGGGUGAAUGGUCUCGACGGGGAUGCCCAGGCGAGGUGGCAAGCGGAGCGUGCCGUGGGCUCCUAAAAACCGCGGUGGCAAAAAAUAAAUGCCGACUACGCAGCUGUUCCUGCCUACGCGCUGAACUGAUGGCGUAGGCCGUCCUGCAGGAUCUCGCCCGCGGGUCCUGUGGGGCGUGGAUGGAGCGGGCUGGUCCCCGGACCGUGCCUGCCGGGACGGGGAUGAGAAGCAAGCAGGCUGGGGCCAUGGCGAUCCUGCCCGUGGGAGCGCCGGGCCCGAGAAGGAAAACACGGGCUAAGCUUGUAGAAGCCGAGCCCAAGGGCAUCUCCGGACCGGGGUUCGAGUCCCCGCACCUCCACCA
rnacentral:tmRNA from 1 species